GGGCGCAAGCCNUGAUGCAGCGACGCCGCGUGAGGGAUGGAGGCCUUCGGGUUGUAAACCUCUUUUAUCGGGGAGCAAGCGAGAGUGAGUUUACCCGUUGAAUAAGCACCGGCUAACUACGUGCCAGCAGCCGCGGUAAUACGUAGGGUGCAAGCGUUAUCCGGAAUUAUUGGGCGUAAAGGGCUCGUAGGCGGUUCGUCGCGUCCGGUGUGAAAGUCCAUCGCUUAACGGUGGAUCCGCGCCGGGUACGGGCGGGCUUGAGUGCGGUAGGGGAGACUGGAAUUCCCGGUGUAACGGUGGAAUGUGUAGAUAUCGGGAAGAACACC
rnacentral:rRNA from 1 species